UUAUUAUUUACAUAUAAUAAUUUAUUUGUGCGAUUCAGAUGAGUUUGAUAAAAUAUUAUAUUAUUAAUUUAAUUAUUAUAUUUAUUUUUAUAAAAAUAAUUUGUUUUUUAGUAUAAUUUUAUUGAAAUAUUUUUUUUAAUUAUAGCUUAUUAGUAUCGUUAGAGAUUUAUUUUAUUUUUAUUAAAGAAUUAUUUUAUUUUGUACCUUUUGCAUCAGGGUUUAUUAAUUAUUAUUUAAUUAUUUUAUUUUUCCCGAAAUUAUAAGAUUUAUAUUUAUAUGAUUGUUGAUGUUUUAAAUUCAUAUUUAAUUUAAAUAUAGUGGUGAUAUGCUAUUCAUUUAUUAAUAUAUCUGGUUUUUUAAUAAUUUUAUUUAAUAAAGAAUUAUAGUUUUAAUAUUAAUAUUUUAUUUUUAUUAUUUUGUAAUUUUAAUCAUUAAAGGAUAAGCUUUUUUGAUUUUAUAUAAUUUAAUUUAUUUUAAGUUUUGUAGGAUUAAUAACUUUCAUCAUUAAUUUCGUUAUAGUUUUUCUUAAUUUUAUUUUUAUUUGGUUUUAAUUUAUUUUUUUAUUAAAAUUAAUUAAUUAAUCUUAAUUUAUUUUUAAUAAUGAUAAAAUUAGUAUAUUUUAAAAUAAAAUAUAGUAACUCGGCAAUUUUAAUUUUCACCUGUUUAUCAAAAACAUGUCUUUUUGUUUAUUAUAUAAAGUCUAGUCUGCUCUAUGAUUUAAAUUAAAUGGCCGCAGUAUUUUAACUGUGCAAAGGUAGCAUAAUCAUUUGCUACUUAAUUAGUAGCUUGUAUGAAUGGCUGGAUGAGGAAUUGACUUUCUUUGUUUUAUUUUAUUGAAUUUUAUUUUUUAGUUAAAAAGCUAAAAUACUAUUAUUAGACGAGAAGACC
rnacentral:rRNA from 1 species